rnacentral:rRNA from 1 species
AGUGAACGCUGGCGGUAGGCCUAACACAUGCAAGUCGAACGGCAGCACAGUAAGAGCUUGCUCUUACGGGUGGCGAGUGGCGGACGGGUGAGGAAUACAUCGGAAUCUACUUUUUCGUGGGGGAUAACGUAGGGAAACUUACGCUAAUACCGCAUACGACCUACGGGUGAAAGCAGGGGAUCUUCGGACCUUGCGCGAUUGAAUUAGCCGAUGUCGGAUUAGCUAGUUGGCGGGGUAAAGGCCCACCAAGGCGACGAUCCGUAGCUGGUCUGAGAGGAUGAUCAGCCACACGGGAACUGAGACACGGUCCAGACUCCUACGGGAGGCAGCAGUGGGGAAUAUUGGACAAUGGGCGCAAGCCUGAUCCAGCCAUACCGCGUGGGUGAAGAAGGCCUUCGGGUUGUAAAGCCCUUUUGUUGGGAAAGAAAAGCAGCAGGUUAAUACCCCGCUGUUCUGACGGUACCCAAAGAAUAAGCACCGGCUAACUUCGUG